GACGAACGCUGGCGGCGUGCUUAACACAUGCAAGUCGAACGGAAAGGCCCUGCUUGCAGGGUACUCGAGUGGCGAACGGGUGAGUAACACGUGGGUGAUCUGCCCUGCACUUCGGGAUAAGCCUGGGAAACUGGGUCUAAUACCGGAUAGGAGCCAUUUUUAGUGUGAUGGUUGGAAAGUUUUUUCGGUGUAGGAUGAGCUCGCGGCCUAUCAGCUUGUUGGUGGGGUAAUGGCCUACCAAGGCGGCGACGGGUAGCCGGCCUGAGAGGGUGGACGGCCACAUUGGGACUGAGAGACGGCCCAGACGCCUACGGGAGGCAGCAGUGGGGAAUAUUGCACAAUGGGCGCAAGCCUGAUGCAGCGACGCCGCGUGGGGGAGGACGGCCUUCGGGUUGUAAACUCCUUUCACUAGGGACGAAGCUUUUUGUGACGGUACCUAGAGAAGAAGCACCGGCUAACUACGUG
rnacentral:rRNA from 1 species